GUGAGGAAUUUUCCGCAAUGGGCGAAAGCCUGACGGAGCAAUGCCGCGUGAAGGAUGAAGGCCUAUGGGUUGUAAACUUCUUUUCUCAGAAAAGAAUUAUGACGGUAUCUGAGGAAUAAGCAUCGGCUAACUCUGUGCCAGCAGCCGCGGUAAGACAGAGGAUGCAAGCGUUAUCCGGAAUGAUUGGGCGUAAAGCGUCUGUAGGUUGUUUAAAAAGUAUUCUGUCAAAGAUUAGGGCUUAACCCUAGAUAGGCAGAAUAAACUUUUAAGCUAGAGUUUGGUAGAGGCAGAGGGAAUUCCCGGGGGAGCGGUGAAAUGCGUAGAUAUCGGGAGGAACACCAAAGGCGAAGGCACUCUGCUGGGCCAAUACUAACACUGAGAGACGAAAGCGAGGGGAGCAAAUGGGAUUAGAAACCCUGGUAGUCC
rnacentral:rRNA from 1 species